UACGUAGGGGGCAAGCGUUGUCCGGAUUUAUUGGGCGUAAAGAGCGUGUAGGCGGCCUGGUAGGUCAGCUGUGAAAACUCGAGGCUCAACCUCGAGACGCCGGUUGAAACCAUCAGGCUAGAGUCCGGAAGAGGAGAGUGGAAUUCCCGGUGUAGCGGUGAAAUGCGCAGAUAUCGAGAAGAACACCCGUGGCUAAGGCGGCUCUCUAGUACGGUACUGACGCUGAGACGCGAAAGCGUGGGGAGCGAACAGG
rnacentral:rRNA from 1 species